UCAUUUGACACAAUCUCACCUUCUAUAUUUAACCUAUCGAGUAAUUGGAUGUUUAUAUCCAGAGACGAAUAAAAUCGGUGUAAAAUAUUUUUUAAAUAUGCCAAGAUUAAAAUUUUAUUCGAUACACCAAUUUUUAAUUUUAAGACAACUGAAAACUCGGAAAAUUUACAGCCGUGUCGUUCGCAUAUUGUUUGGCAAUUUGACAGCACAAACACAAUACUGUCAUUAAGUAAAGCUGCAAUUAAGUAACUCGCGCUUUCGAUGUGCCCUCUAGACUGAACUGGCAAUUUGUGUUGAGUAAACACAACCAUGUCGAGCGCUGGUCACUGCAGCUCUGUUCCUGAUGCACUGUGUGAUUGAAAGACUGACUGACACACGGAUGAAACGAAGGAGGAACUGGCAGCUGCUUGAGCAUUGGAAAUUAUUGGCAGUUUGCUUAACUGUAGCCACGGAAAUGUUUCCGUUUUGGUUUACAUAAUCAAAUUGCCGCCACUCUUUUUCGCAAAUUGCUUUCAUUUAUGACUGAUGGCCAGCAUUUGACACGACCGUAAAGAAAAAAACGCUGAAAUCUCAAUCAACCUUUUUGGCAGUCAUUAAUUUUCAAGAUCCGCGACGCAUAUUUAGGCAUUAGAUUAAAUUGUUUUCUUUUAACAUACAUUUAACUAACCACACAGUACAGUGGGAUUCAAUGCCUAAAUGUCGAGCUCAACUGAAUAUAUAUAUGUGUAUUACACAUUUAUUUAAACACUGUAGAAAGUGUGAUGACUUUACUAUAUUUAAAUUAUAACAGC